ACUCAAAGGAAUAGACGGGGGCCCGCACAAGCGGAGGAACAUGUGGUUUAAUUCGAUGAUACGCGAGGAACCUUACCCGGGCUCGAACGGCUUUUGAAGACCUGUGAAAGCAGGUUGUCAGCAAUGACAAGAGUCGAGGUGCUGCAUGGUUGUCGUCAGCUCGUGCCGUGAGGUGUCGGCUUAAGUGCCAUAACGAGCGCAACCCUUACCGUUAGUUACCAUCAGGUAAAGCUGGGAACUCUGACGGGACUGCCACCGUAAGGUGCGAGGAAGGUGGGGAUGACGUCAAAUCAGCACGGCCCUUACGUCCGGGGCGACACACGUGUUACAAUGGGGGGGACAAAGGGCAGCUACCUGGCGACAGGAUGCGAAUCUCCAAACCCUCUCCCAGUUCGGAUCGAAGUCUGCAACCCGACUUCGUGAAGCUGGAUUCGCUAGUAAUCGCGCAUCAGCCAUGGCGCGGUGAAUACGUUCCCGGGCCUUGUACACACCGCCCGU
rnacentral:rRNA from 1 species